GUCUGUAGGGGAAGGUGUCUGUAGGGGAUGGUGUCUGUAAGGGAAGGUGUCUGUAGGGGAAGGUGUCUGUAGGGGAAGAUGUCUGUAGGGGGACGUGUGUGUCUGUAGGGGAACGUGUGUGUCUGUAGGGGAAUGUGUCUGUCUGUAAGGGAAGGUGUGUGUCUGUAGAGGAAGGUAUCUGUAGGGGAAGGUGUCUGUCUGUAGGUGAAGAUGUCUUUAGGGGAAUGUGUGUGUCUGUAGGGGAAGAUGUGUGUCUGUAGGGGAAGGUGUCUGUCUGUAGGUGAAGAUGGCUGUAGGGGAAGGUGUGUGUCUGUAGGGGAAAAUGUGUGUCUGUAGGGGAAGGUGUCUGUCUGUAGUUGAAGAUGUAUGUAGGGAAAGGUGUCUGUCGGAAGGGGAAGGUGUGUGUCUACAGGGGAAGGUGUGUGUCUGUAGGGGAAGGUGUGUGUCUAUAGGGGAAGGUGUGUGUCUGUGGGGGAAGGUGUGUGUCUGUAGGGGAAGGUGUGUGUCUGUGGGGAAGGUGUCUGUCUGUAGAGGAAGGUGUCUGUAGGGGAAGGUGUCUGUCUGUAGGGGAAGGUGUCUGUAGGGGAAGGUGUCUGUCUGUAGGGGAAGGUGUCUGUGGGGAAGGUGUGUGUCUGUGGGGAAGGUGUGUGUCUACAGGGGAAGGUGUGUGUCUGUGGGGAAGGUGUGUGUCUGUAGGGGAAGGUGUGUGUCUGUAGGUGAAGAUGUGUGUCUGUAGGGGAAGGUGUGUGUCUGUAGGGGAAGGUGUGUGUCUGUAGGGGAAGGUGUGUGUCUGUAGGGGAAGGUGUGUGUCUGUAGAGGAAAGUGUGUGUCUGUAGGGGAAGGUGUGUGUAAGUCAGGUGAGUAAUGUGAGUGGCAGCUAGCCUAUCUCUCCUCCUCCUCUGUGGUAGCUACAUCACCAUUAUCCCUCCUCUCCUCCCCCUCUGUGGUAGCUACAACACCAUUAUCCCUCCUCUCCUCCCCCUCUGAAGUAGCUACAACAUCAUUAUCCCUGCUCUCCUCCCCCUCUGUGGUAGCUACAACAUAAUUUUGCCUCCUCUCCUCCUCCUCUGAAGUAGCUACAACAUCAUUAUCCCUGCUCUCCUCCCCCUCUGUGGUAGCUACAACAUCAUUAUCCCUCCUCUCCUCCUCCUCUGUGGUAGCUACAACAUCAUUUUGCCUCCUCUCCUCCCCC
ensembl:lncRNA